rnacentral:rRNA from 1 species
GAAGUUAGCGGCGGACGGGUGAGUAACACGUGGGUAACCUGCCCAUAAGACUGGGAUAACUCCGGGAAACCGGGGCUAAUACCGGAUAAUAUUUUGAACUGCAUGGUUCGAAAUUGAAAGGCGGCUUCGGCUGUCACUUAUGGAUGGACCCGCGUCGCAUUAGCUAGUUGGUGAGGUAACGGCUCACCAAGGCAACGAUGCGUAGCCGACCUGAGAGGGUGAUCGGCCACACUGGGACUGAGACACGGCCCAGACUCCUACGGGAGGCAGCAGUAGGGAAUCUUCCGCAAUGGACGAAAGUCUGACGGAGCAACGCCGCGUGAGUGAUGAAGGCUUUCGGGUCGUAAAACUCUGUUGUUAGGGAAGAACAAGUGCUAGUUGAAUAAGCUGGCACCUUGACGGUACCUAACCAGAAAGCCACGGCUAACUACGUGCCAGCAGCCGCGGUAAUACGUAGGUGGCAAGCGUUAUCCGGAAUUAUUGGGCGUAAAGCGCGCGCAGGUGGUUUCUUAAGUCUGAUGUGAAAGCCCACGGCUCAACCGUGGAGGGUCAUUGGAAACUGGGAGACUUGAGUGCAGAAGAGGAAAGUGGAAUUCCAUGUGUAGCGGGUGAAAUGCGUAGAGAUAUGGAGGAACACCAGUGGCGAAGGCGACUUUUCUG